AUUAAAUCCUAAUUAAACCUGAAAUGGCCUCAGCAAGAAUAUUAGAUGGAGGAAACUCUGCAUUAUCUGGCCCUGUUUCUGAUCGUGCGUGAGCAUUUUGUUCAGCCUCAUCAUCCUGCCUGUGUGCCACCAUGCUCCCUUCCCAUGAUGCUAAUGGACUAAUCCUCUGAAAUUGUAAGCCAGGCCCAGUCAAAUGCUUUCCUUUCCAAGCGUUGCCUUGGUCAUGGUUGUCUCUUCACAGCAAUAGAACAGUAAGACACCAUGAGGAGCUUUCUCAGUGUUUUCAUUCUGAGUCUCCACAUGGACACCAGAGGACAUCGUUCCCAGAGGACCCAUUAUGGGAGUCAGCCACAAGAGAAGAGAAAUUACCCAGGACAGAAUUUCUCUGUGUAACAGCCCUGGCCAUUCUGGGACUAGUUCUGUAGACCAGGCUGGCCUCAAACUCACAGAGAUUCGCCUGACUCUAUCUCCUGAGCUCUGAAGUUAAAGGUGUGUGCCACCACCUCUGCAGACAGUAGCUAAAUUUUUUUGAUAUUUGUACAUGGGAGGAGGAGAAUCUGUUCCUGAAGGGCUGCUCUGAAGAUGACUGCAGAGACAUAAGAUCAGCUAUUUGAAAGUGUAUGCAAGGCUACUGAGUUCCUUACAAAGAUGGGGUGGUUUAGGGAACAUGGUGGCAUCGACUUCACUUCGGUGGGCAUGGUGAAAGCCUCUUUCACUGACCAUUAUGUUUUGAUUGUCUACUUGCUUGUAUUAAUAAAGGCCUAGACUAUGAUGGAGGUGCACCUUUAAGUGGGUCUGUGGAGGGGUCUCCAGAAAGGAUUAAUCUACCCUUGAGGGUAAGUGCACUUGGGGUCCCAGGGUGGGAAAAAAAAAAAGAGAAAUAGGAAAAAUCCCAUUGAGCAUCUGUAUUGCCCCUACCCCACUGCCUUGAUCCAGCCAGAUGUGAGCAAGCAGCCUGAUGCUCCUGCUCCCACAGGCUCCGGCUGUUCCUGCCAUCAUGAUGGACUGUGUUCUCAGCCGCUGUGCCAGAAGAAUGCAUUCCUCUCUGCUGUUUGUUGGCAGGGAUUUGGUUCUUCAGAGCAAGGAAAGAAAUGGGUAUACGCAAUGCAAAUAUCUCUGCUACGAUGUGUGAAUAAAUUCUUAUGAAAAUCAUGUGUUUAAAACUUAAUCUUCCGGACGGGAGAAGAGGCUCAGCGGUUAAGGGGCUGCUUUCCCAGAGGACCCGAGUUCAAUUCCUAGCACCCACAUGGCAGCUCACAACUGUCUGUAACUUCAGCUCCAGGGGAUCUGACACCUUCACACUGAGUAUAUACAGGCAAAACACCAGUGCACAUUAAAUAAACAAAUAUCUACAUAAAAAAUAAUCAGUUGUAUUUUAUGGGGUGGGGGCUCUGAGAAGUGAUUAGGACUAGAUAUGGUCAUGAAACGGAGAUCCUCUGAUGACAUUAGUUUAACAAGAAAAGGGUAAGAAGGAUGGGGAUGUAGCUCAAUUGGUAGCGUGUUUGCCCAGCAUGAGCAAAGUCCUGGGUUUGAUUCCAAACUCUACAUGCAACAGGCAUACUGACAUGAGAGAUGAAGAAGGCAGGAGGGUCAGAAGUUUGAGACCUUCUUUGGUGAUGUGGCAAAUUCCACACCAGCUUGGGAUAUAAGAAGUCCCUAACUCAAAAUAAGAUUUGUUUAUUUUAUGUGUAUGAUGUUGCAGGUAUAUAUGCGCACUAGACAUGUGUGUCUAGUCGUCACAGAGGUCAGAAGAAAGGACCGAAUCUCCUGGAACCGGAGUUAUCGAUAGCUGGGAGUCACCAUGUGGGUACUGAGAACAGAAGCCAAGUCCUCUGAACGAGCAACCCAUGCUGUUAAGAGCUGAGCUAUCGCUGGGCGGUGGUGGCGCAUGCCUUUAAUCCCAGCACUUGGGAGGCAGAGGCAGGCGGAUCUCUGUGAGUUCGAGACCAGCCUGGUCUACAGAGCUGGUUCCAGGACAGGCUCCAAAGCCACAGAGAAACCCUGUCUCGAAAAACAAA